rnacentral:rRNA from 1 species
ACCGGCAGCUCAAGUGGUGGCCAUUUUUAUUGGGCCUAAAGCGUUCGUAGCCGGUUUGAUAAGUCUCUGGUGAAAUCCCGCAGCUUAACUGUGGGACUUGCUGGAGAUACUAUUAGACUUGAGGUCGGGAGAGGUUAGGGGUACUCCCAGGUGUAGCGGUGAAAUGCGUAGAGAUCUGGAGGAAUACCGGUGGCGAAGGCGGCCCCCUGGACGAAGACUGACGCUCAGGUGCGAAAGCGUGGGGAGCAAACAG